UUAGAGUUUGAUCCAUGGCUCAGGACGAACGCUGGCGGCGUGCCUAACACAUGCAAGUCAGGGGGAAAGGGGUAGCAAUAUCCCGAGUACACCGGCGAACGGGUGAGUAACACGUAGGCAACUUACCCUGUGGACGGGGAUAACCCCGGGAAACCGGAGCUAAUACUCCGAUGAUAUUCCGGCGCGGCAUCGUGUCGGAAUGAAAAGUGGCGUCUUUGACGCCACGCCACAAGAUGGGCCUGCGUCCCAUUAGCUCGUUGGCGGGGUAACGGCCCACCAAGGCUACGAUGGGUAGCUGGUCUGAGAGGAUGGUCAGCCACACUGGAACUGAGACACGGUCCAGACUUCUACGGAAGGCAGCAGUGAGGAAUAUUGCUCAAUGGGCGAAAGCCUGAAGCAGCGACGCCGCGUGAGGGAUGAAAUCCGUCAGGAUGUAAACCUCUUUUCUUAGGGAAGAAUGUCCCGCCUUCGGGCGGGAUUGACGGACCUGAGGAAUAAGCCCCGCCA
rnacentral:rRNA from 1 species